GACGAACGCUGGCGGCGUGCUUAACACAUGCAAGUCGAACGGAAAGGCCCUGCUUGCAGGGUACUCGAGUGGCGAACGGGUGAGUAACACGUGGGUGAUCUGCCCUGCACUUCGGGAUAAGCCUGGGAAACUGGGUCUAAUACCGGAUAGGAGCCAUUUUUAGUGUGAUGGUUGGAAAGUUUUUUCGGUGUAGGAUGAGCUCGCGGCCUAUCAGCUUGUUGGUGGGGUAAUGGCCUACCAAGGCGGCGACGGGUAGCCGGCCUGGGAGGGUGGACGGCCACAUUGGGACUGGGAGACGGCCCAGACUUCUACGGGGGGCAGCAGUGGGGAAUAUUGCACAAUGGGCGCAAGCCUGAUGCAGCGACGCCGCGUGGGGGAUGACGGCCUUCGGGUUGUAAACUCCUUUCGCUAGGGACGAAGCUUUUUGUGACGGUACCUAGAUAAGAAGCACCGGCUAACUACGUG
rnacentral:rRNA from 1 species